rnacentral:misc_RNA from 1 species
GUGCACCUUCCCUCUCAACGGUCACACGGUCAUUAAUAAGUCGAGCAAUAAGGCUUGUAUGCAUAAACAAAUUUUUGUAUUCUUCACUUGUGACAACCUCCUCAGACAAUGGUUCCAAAAAAUAAAGUGAUAUGAGGAUGAUAGGUCCUAAUCCAAAUGAUAUAUACCCAUUUGAUAGAUAUUCAUUUAUUGUUGGAAUUGUCUUGUUUCUUGCCCACUCUG